GAGUUUGAUCGUGGCUCAGAUUGAACGCUGGCGGCAGGCCUAACACAUGCAAGUCGAGCGGAUGACGGGAGCUUGCUCCUUGAUUCAGCGGCGGACGGGUGAGUAAUGCCUAGGAAUCUGCCUGGUAGUGGGGGACAACGUUUCGAAAGGAACGCUAAUACCGCAUACGUCCUACGGGAGAAAGCAGGGGACCUUCGGGCCUUGCGCUAUCAGAUGAGCCUAGGUCGGAUUAGCUAGUUGGUGGGGUAAUGGCUCACCAAGGCGACGAUCCGUAACUGGUCUGAGAGGAUGAUCAGUCACACUGGAACUGAGACACGGUCCAGACUCCUACGGGAGGCAGCAGUGGGGAAUAUUGGACAAUGGGCGAAAGCCUGAUCCAGCCAUGCCGCGUGUGUGAAGAAGGUCUUCGGAUUGUAAAGCACUUUAAGUUGGGAGGAAGGGCAGUAAAUUAAUACCUUGCUGUUUUGACGUUACCGACAGAAUAAGCACCGGCUAACUCUGUGCCAGCCGCCG
rnacentral:rRNA from 1 species